rnacentral:snRNA from 2 species
UCGCUCAUGCCUCUCCUCAUCACUACGAGAUAGCCUUUCGCCUUUUACUAAAGACUACCGUGGGGUGGGGCACUUCAAUGAGCCUCUAGGGGAAUUUUCGAAAGGCUGCUACCUUUUGGUAGUAGCU